CGUGUGUAAAUAAAGAAAGCAAACAAGCCGGAAGCCCAGGAGGCGGCGCGGAGCUUCCCGCUGGGGAGCUGGGAGCAGGAGCCGCCCGCCCGGCCUCCAGCCCCGCCCAGCAUCCAGGGCCCCCAACCCCCAUCCCACCUCCGCCCCGAGAGCGCCCCCGCCGGCUCCCCGCCCUCCGACUUCCCCCGGACGCCGGCCAGGACACCCAGGACAGCAGGGAGAGUGGCGGCUAGACAGGACACCCCGGGACCGGAACGUCCGGGACGCCGAGGCCCCCGCUGCUUCGUUCCCGCUCGCCCCUGCGACCUCGGGCUCAGCGCCCACGCCAGCCCCAGUAGCUCAGGGUAGAACCCCUCGUCCUCCCCAACAGCAGUUCCCUUGAAGGAACUGCCCCCAAGAGCAGCAUUUUCCAGAAGAUGGCGCCUGCAGAACGUUGUCCCUGACCAAAGCCACCCACAGAGAGCAAAGCGCCAGGACCUCCCGAAGCAGGGGUUUUUGUCCUCAGAGAUGCCUUAGAGAAGAGGGUCGUUUCCUGCGAGGGCCUCCACAUAAUCCUUGAUUUCCUUUCCUGUCUUGGAAAUCUGGGGGAAAGCAAAGCCAGGUCCCAACCUUGUUUAUUGCUCCGGAUCCAUGACUCGGUCAGCCCCCCCCCCCAAAUCGGCUCUGGACGGGGUGGAGACAGAGGCCAGAGAGGAGAACGAUGAGGGGGACAGGCAGGUGUGAGAGGGGUGGCAGUUCCUUGUCCAGAACCACAAAGCCUGACUUACCUGCA